UACGUAGGGUGCAAGCGUUAAUCGGAAUUACUGGGCGUAAAGCGUGCGCAGGCGGUUUUGUAAGUCAGAUGUGAAAUCCCCCGGGCUUAACCUGGGAACUGCGUUUGAAACUACAAGGCUAGAGUGUGGCAGAGGGGGGGUGGAAUUCCACGUGUAGCAGUGAAAUGCGUAGAUAUGCGGAGGAACACCGAUGGCGAAGGCAAUCCCCUGGGCCUGCACUGACGCUCAUGCACGAAAGCGUGGGGAGCAAACAGG
rnacentral:rRNA from 1 species